GCACCAGUGGCGGAAUAGGUAGACGCGCACGUUUGAGGGGCGUGUGGGAAAUCCCAUGCGAGUUCAAGUCUCACCUGGUGCACCA
rnacentral:tRNA from 1 species